UCAUGCUGUAGGACUUUACC
rnacentral:miRNA from 1 species